rnacentral:tRNA from 1 species
UCCCUGAUGGCUCAGUUGGUAAAGAAUCUGCCUGCAAUGUAGGAGACCUGGGUUCAAUUUCUGGGCAGGGAA